AAUUAGGGCACGGGCACAGCCGCGUCCAAAAAUCAGCCCCCGAAUGUCGGGGCGCCAAGACCCCCCAGCGGAAAAAUGGCCAAAAAAUGGGUGGGCUAUAGCCUUGGUGGGGGGCGUGGGCGAAGUUCGUCCGCCGGACUCGGAAUGGCCCCAGACUUUGCGGGCGGCCUCCGUGUGCCAAAAUUAGGCCCCGGGCACAGCCGUACCCAAAAAUCAGCCCCCGAAGGUCGGAGCGCCAAGACCCCCCAGCGGAAAAAUGGCCAAAAAACGGGUGGGCUAUAGCCUUGGUGGCGGGCGUGGGCGAAGUUCGUCCGCCGGACUCGGACUGGCCCCAGACUUUGCGGGCGGCCUCCGUUGGCCAAUAUUAGGCAACGGGCACAGCCGCGCCCAAAAAUCAUCCCCCGAAGGUCGGGGCGCCAAGACGCCCCAGCGGAAAAAUGGCCAAAAAACGGGUGGGCUAUAGCCUUGGUGGGGGGCGUGGGUGAAGUUCGUCCGCCGGACUCGGAAUGGCCCCAGACUUUGCGGGCGGCCUCCGUUGGCCAAUAUUAGGCAAUGGGCACAGCCGCUCCCAAAAAUCAUCCCCCGAAGGUCGGGGCGCCAAGACGCCCCAGCGGAAAAAUGGCCAACAAACGGGUGGGCUAUAGCCUUGGUGGGGGGCGUGGGCGAAGUUCGUCCGCCGGACUCGGAAUGGCCCCAGACUUUGCGGUCGGCCUCCGUUUGCCAAUAUUAGGCAACGGGCACAGCCGCGCCCAAAAAUCAAUCCCCGAAAGUCGGGGUGCCAAGACCCCCCAGCGAAAAAAUGGCCAAAAAACGGGUGGGCUAUAGCCUUGGUGGGGGGCGUGGGCGAAGUUCGUCCGCCGGACUCGGAAUGGCCCCAGACUUUGCGGGCGGCCUCCGUGUGCCAAAAUUAGGCCACGGGCACAGCUGCGCGCAAAAAACAGCCCCCGAAGGUCGGGGCGCCAAGACGCCCCAGCGGAAGAAUGGCCAAAAAACGGGCUGGCUAUUGCCUUGGUGGGGGGCGUGGCCGAAGUUCGUCCGCCGGACUCGGAAUGACCCCAGACUUUGCGGGCGGCCUCCGUUUGCCAAUAUUAGCCAACGGGCACAGCCGCGCCCAAAAAUCAGCCCCCGAAGGUCGGGGAGCCAAGACCCCCCAGCGGAAAAAUGGCCAAAAAACGGGUGGGCUAUAACCUUGGUGGGGGGCGUGGGCGAAGUUCGUCCGCCGGACUCGGAAUGGCCCCAGACUUUGCGGGCGGCCUCCGUGUGCCAAAAAUAGGCCACGGGCACAGCCGCGCCCAAAAAUCAGCCCCCGAAGGUCGGGGUGCCAAGACCCCCCAGCAGAAAAAUGGCCAAAAAACGGGUGGGCUAUAGCCUUGGUGGGGGGCGUGGGCGAAGUUCGUCCGCCGGACUCGGAAUGGCCCCAGACUUUGCGGGCGGCCUCCGUGUGCCAAAAUUAGGCCACGGGCACAGCCGCGCCCAAAAAUCAGCCCCCGAAGGUCGGGACGCCAAGACCCCCCAGCGGAAAAAUGGCCAAAAAAUGGGUGGGCUAUAGCCUUGGUGGGGGGCGUGGGCGAAGUUCAUCCGCCGGACUCGGACUGGCCCCAGACAUUGCGGGCGGCCUCCGGUCGCCAAUAUUAGGCAACGGGCACAGCCGCGCCCAAAAAUCAUCACCCGAAGGUCGGGGUGCCAAGACCCCCCAGCUGAAAAAUGGCCAAAAAACGGGUGGGCUAUAGCCUUGGUGGGGGGCGUGGGCGAAGUUCGUCCGCCGGACUCGGAAUGGCCCCAGACUUUGCGGGCGGCCUCCGUGUGCCAAAAUUAGGCCACGGGAACAGCCGCGCCCAAAAAUCAGCCCCCGAAGGUCGGGGUGCCAAGACCCCCCAACGGAAAAAUGGCCAAAAAACGAAUGGGCUAUAGCC
rnacentral:lncRNA from 1 species